rnacentral:rRNA from 1 species
AGCGAACGCUGGCGGCAGGCCUAACACAUGCAAGUCGAACGAACUCUUCGGAGUUAGUGGCGGACGGGUGAGUAACACGUGGGAACGUGCCUUUUGGUUCGGAAUAACUCAGGGAAACUUGUGCUAAUACCGAAUGUGCCCUUCGGGGGAAAGAUUUAUCGCCAUUAGAGCGGCCCGCGUCUGAUUAGCUAGUUGGUGAGGUAACGGCUCACCAAGGCGACGAUCAGUAGCUGGUCUGAGAGGAUGACCAGCCACACUGGGACUGAGCCACGGCCCAGACUCCUACGGAAGGCAGCAGUGGGGAAUCUUGCGCAAUGGGCGAAAGCCGGACGCAGCCAUGCCGCGUGAAUGAUGAAGGUCUUAGGAUUUUAAAAUUCUUUCCCCGGGGACGAUAAUGACGGUACCGGAGAAGAAGCCCCGGCUAACUUCGUG